AAUGAGCGAAACCGCGGACGGCUCAUUAAAUCGGUUACGGUUCACUCGCCCGUCCACGUCCUGCAUUGUCAGGGCGUAGUCGGAUAACUGUGGUAAUUCUAGAGCUAAUACGUGCAACUUACGGCCUCCGAGAAAUCGGGGGCUGGCAUUUAUUAGUCUGGCGUGCGCGGCCUUUAAGGUUUCGCGCGCCUGACGGCUCUGAAUAACGGUGGCGGAUCGUCCUCAUCUGAGGACGACCGGGCUUUUGAGUGUCCGCCUUAUCAACUUUCGACGGUAGGUUCAGCGCCUACCGUGGUGGUUACGGGUGACGGGGAAUCAGGGUUCGAUUCCGGAGAGGGAGCCUGAAAGACGGCUACCACAUCCAAGGAAGGCAGCAGGCACGCAAAUUACCCACUCUCCGAAAGAGAGGAGGUAGUGACGAAAAAUAACGAUACGGGACUCUUAACGAGGCCUCGUAAUCGGAAUGAGACCGCUUCAAAUCCUCGAGACGAGGAUCUAUCGGAGGGCAAGUCUGGUGCCAGCAGCCGCGGUAAUUCCAGCUCCGAUAGCGUAUAUUAAAGUCGCUGCGGUUAAAAAGCUCGUAGUUGGAUUUGGGUCGACCGGGCCGUCGGGCCGCCGCCUCCGUGCGGCGAGUUCCCGUGCGUCCCCGGGACCGCACGUUCACCCCCCGCGGUGCUCUUUACUGAGUGUCCGCGGUAGCGGGUGACCGAACGUUUACCUUGACAAAACCGGAGUGCUCGAGGCGUGGGCGUUCGCCGCCCGUACGUCCUCGCUGGGAAUAAUGGAAGAGGACCGUUGGUCAAAAAAGGUUUUUUGUCAGAGAGGCGGAGAGCAAAAAGGAGGUUGCGUUGGCGGGGGAUUACAAAGGGGGGCGACUCCCUUUCCCCCUCUGGCCUUCCUCUUUCUCCUCCUUGAAACCUUCCUUUCCGUGUACCGCACCGGGGAUCGGUUGGCGCUAUUCGGCGGAAAGGGCGGUUUGAGACAGAAGGGUGAAAGCAGGUGGUCGUUUGCCGGAAAGCGAAAGCUGGACGGCCGGUCGUCUGUGGAAACCUGGAAUCUUAUUCCCCCUCACUGUCGUGGUGCUUCCGUGUCUUCGGUGUCAGCGGGAGGAGGUCGAAAACCCCAAUAAAAAUAACGUGUCAUGAUUAAGAGGGACGGCCGGGGGCAUUCGUACCGCGGCGCGAGAGGUGAAAUUCUAGGACCGUCGCGAGACGAACGAUAGCGAAAGCAUUUGCCAAGAAUGUUUUCCUUAAUCAAGAACGAAAGUCGGAGGUUCGAAGGCGAUCAGAUACCGCCCUAGUUCCGACCUUAAACCAUGCCGUCCGACCGCCCGCCAGGGUUACUACCGCGACUCGGCGGGCGGUGACUUUCCACCGGGAAACCCUUAAGCUUUCGGGUUCCGGGGGAAGUACGGUCGCAAAGCUGAAACUUAAAGGAAUUGACGGAAGGGCACCACCAGGAGUGGAGCCUGCGGCUUAAUUUGACUCAACACGGGGAACCUCACCCGGCCCGGACACCGCGAGGAUUGACAGAUCGAUAGCUC
rnacentral:rRNA from 1 species